rnacentral:rRNA from 1 species
ACGCUCGACACCUACGGGAGGAGCAGUGGGGAAUAUUGCACAAUGGGGGAAACCCUGAUGCAGCGACGCCGCGUGAGCGAAGAAGUAUUUCGGUAUGUAAAGCUCUAUCAGCAGGGAAGAAAAUGACGGUACCUGACUAAGAAGCCCCGGCUAACUACGUGCCAGCAGCCGCGGUAAUCUGAGCGGGCUGGCAAGGC